UACGGAGGGGGCUAGCGUUGUUCGGAAUUACUGGGCAUAAAGCGCGCGUAGGCGGACCUGCAAGUCGGGGGUGAAAGCCCGAGGCUCAACCUCGGAACUGCCUUCGAUACUGCGGGUCUCGAGUCCGGGAGAGGUGAGUGGAAUUCCUAGUGUAGAGGUGAAAUUCGUAGAUAUUAGGAAGAACACCAGUGGCGAAGGCGGCUCACUGGCUCGGUACUGACGCUGAGGCGCGAAAGCGUGGGGAGCAAACAGG
rnacentral:rRNA from 1 species